CCCUUAGAUGUUCUGGGCCGCACGCGCGCUACACUGACGAAUGCAACGAGCUUAUAACCUUGGCCGAAAGGUCUGGGUAAUCUCCAAAUUUCGUCGUGAUGGGGAUAGAUUAUUGCAAUUAUUAAUCUUCAACGAGGAAUGCCUAGUAAGCGCAAGUCAUCAGCUUGCGUUGAUUACGUCCCUGCCCUUUGUACACACCGCCCGUCGCUCCUACCGAUUGAAUGGUCCGGUGAAGCGUUCGGACCGUGGCCUUUGGACGGUUCGCCGUCUGUUGGGUGCGGGAAGUUCGUUAAACCUUAUCAUUUAGAGGAAGGAGAAGUCGUAACA
rnacentral:rRNA from 1 species